GACGAACGCUGGCGGCGUGCCUAAUACAUGCAAGUCGAACGCAGUGGGGACGGGUGAGUAACACGUGGGUAACCUCCCAUCAGAGGGGAUAACACUUGGAAACAGGUGCUAAACCGAUACUGAUGGAUGGACCCGCGGUGCAUUAGCUAGUUGGUGAGGUAACGGCUCACCAAGGACACGAUGCAUAGCGGACGUAGAGAGUGUUCUCCCCCCCUGGGACUGAGACACGGCCCAAACUCCUUCUUCUUCCCCCCUACUCCCCUCUUCCUAUCUUUACGAAAGUCUGACCUAGCAACGCCGCGUGAGUGAAUACCUUUUUCAGAUCAUCACACUCUGUUGUUAGAGAAGCGGUAUCUAACCAGAAAGCCACGGCUAACUACGUGCCAGCAGCCGCGGUAAUAC
rnacentral:rRNA from 1 species